rnacentral:rRNA from 1 species
GAUUAAUACCGCAUAUGCCGAGAGUAAAAGUAGCAAUACGCCAGAAGAUCGGCCUGCGGCAUUAUUUAAUCCUAGUUGGUGAGGUAACGGCUCACCAAGGGUACGAUGGGUAGCUGGUCUGAGAGGACGAUCAGCCACACUGGGACUGAGACACGGCCCAGACUCCUACGGGAGGCAGCAGUGGGGAAUAUUGGACAAUGGGCGCAAGUGAUCCAGCCACGCCGCGUGAGUGAUGAAGGCCUUAGGGUUGUAAAGCUCUGUCGUGAGGGAAGAAGAUCUGACGGUACCUCACAAGAAAGCACCGGCUAACUCCGUGCCAGCAGCCGCGGUAAUACGGAGGGUGCAAGCGUUGCUCGGAAUUACUGGGCGUAAAGCGCACGCAGGCGGUUUGUCAGGUCGGAUGUGAAAGCCCGGGGCUCAACCCCGAACUGCAUUCGAAACCGGCAGACUUGAGUUCGAGAGAGGGUGGUGGAAUUCCUGGUGUAGAGGUGAAAUUCGUUGAUAUCAGGAGGAACACCGGUGGCGAAGGGACCACCUGGCUCGAUACUGACGCUCAUGUGCGAAAGGUGGGGAGCAAACAGGAUUAGAUACCCUGGUAGUCCACGCCGUAAACGUUGAAUGCUAGGUGUCGGGGGUAUCACCCCCUCGGUGCCGGAGUUAACGCAUUAAGCAUUCCGCCUGGGGAGUACGGUCGCAAGAUUAAAACUCAAAGGAAUUGACGGGGG